UUCACGUUCGAUUAAGAUCUAACGGCCUCGACUGAAACCACCGUCUUAACGAACCGCUAAAAGCCCCCCAUCGGAAAAAUUGAAGAGAACCCCCAAAAGACAACUUUUUUCUGUGUCUCACUUUGUCUGUGUCAUCAUCAGACAUCAGCUUAUGUAAUUCAUUGGUUCCUCUAGAAGCAUUGGACCAGCUACGACUCGAUUUGGUUUGCUCGAAUUCUUCAACAAGUGAUCGCUCUCUCCUUCGAGGGUUUUUUUGGGCAUUGAGUAUCAUGUGUUUUCAUUUCCAUGUGGUGCAACAGAAAGAACUACCGCUAACAACAUGAAAGACAAUUGAAAACUCCAAAUGUAGCAAGGUUUGGAGCUCCUAUAAUCUUCUAUACAUAUAAUUGGCAUUCCGAUCUUUUCGUCCGAGAGCGAAUCCAGAAGCAAUGUCAUCUCCAGACAUUGUUGCAAUCUUGGAGAGCUCUAGGGAACUCGAUCGAAUAAGGAAAGAUCAAGAGGAGGUGCUAGUCGAGAUAAACAAGAUGCACAAGAAGCUCCAAGCAACUCCUGAGGUGGUUGAGAAGCCUGGAGAUACUUCAUUAGCGAAGCUAAAGCAUCUGUAUACUCAGGCAAAAGACCUUUCAGAAACUGAAGUAAAUAUUUCCACUGCAUUGCUGAGUCAACUGGAUGCUUUGCUUCCAUCUGGACCUCCAGGGCAACAACGAAAGAGGAUAGUUGCAGAAGGUGGGAAUGAACAGAAAAGGAAAAGAAUGAAGACUGAUUCAGAUAUCUCAAGGCUCUCUCCAUCAAUACGAAGUCAGCUUGAGGCCUGGGCUAAUCUAAAGGGUGAACAGGUAGCGGCUAGAGUUACGGGAGAUAAUUCUGAAAAGGAUGAGUGGUUCGUUGUAAAAGUGAUACAUUUUCAUAAGGAUAUGAAAGAAUUUGAAGUGCUUGAUGAGGAGCCAGGUGAUGAAGAAGAGGGCAGUGGCCAGAGAAAAUAUCAUCUGCCUAUGUCACGCAUCAUACCGUUUCCAAAGCGAAAUGAUCCUUCCACUGCCCCAGAUUUCCCUCCUGGAAGACAAGUUUUAGCUGUUUAUCCAGGAACUACUGCACUUUAUAAGGCAACUGUUGUUAGUCCUCCGAGGAGGAGGAAGACGGAUGAGUAAGUAAUAUCUUCUAUUAUUUCCAUCUGUCAUUUGUGCUAUAUUUUUCCCAAUACGGGUUAUUUACUGGAAUUCGACGAUGACGAAGAAGAUGGUAAAAUGCCCCAGAGGACAGUACCUUUUCACAAGGUGGUUGCCCUGCCAGAAGGUCAUCGUCAGUGAAUUAUUUCUGUUUAUAAAUGUGUGCAAAUACAAAGUUGUGCAGUGUCGUGUACCAACAUGCCCCUAUGUAUGUAUGUAUGUGUUUGUUUAGUCGGUAAUUGCUGAUCUAAGGAUCCAAAAUCUCACUCCACUUCCUCAUCUACAAUGGGGAGGAGAUUGGUGAGUAGACUUUUAAGUUUUAACCAUAAGACCUACGUAAGUAAGUUGAGGGUUAAAUGUAAUUUAUCCUUGAAGAUUUUCAGAAUUUGUUCUUUAGACAAGCAAGCUUAAAUGUAAUUUAUUGUUUAUCCACUUCUUUGUAUU